CAAUUCCUUUCCUUUUUGUAAAGCCACCUUCCUUGCCCUAAAUGGAAAGAGUAAAAAUAAGACAGUAGCAAUCUCUCUUUGCAUUUUUCACUCUGUACCACUCUCCAACCUGAAGAAAAAACCCACAAUCACCACCGAAACAAAAAGCAACCCCAACAAAUUCUCCUUCCACAAUUACAUACAACCCAUGCAUCAUUCCAAAUCCUACUAUAACAGAUUUGGUAGUUCUGUUAGACAAACCUUCUUCAGAAAGGCCUUUUACUUCUCUUGGCAAACAGUUUAAGAUGGUGCUAAGGUUGCACAAAUAGAACUGGCAGUCAUAAAGAGACUGGUAUUUCUCUUCGUCAAUGAAAGAGCCAUCAAAGAGCGGAACACCUUUUCAAGAAGAUAAAUGAAAUCAUUAGCCUCUAGAGCAAUUUCAGACUUUCAAAGUACACGCGUGCAAUAUCAGGAAUCCUGAUAUUCAGGUGUACUCACUGAAUAAGCUCAGUAACAAAGAAUAACUUUAUAUUCGUAGAAUGACUUUGCUACUACUCACACAGUUGGUUAAAUUCUUCUGCGGUGUUGAGCACUCUGUUCCACGCACACUCACGGACAAAAUGUAUAUUUUCUGCAGUAUUUGGCUUCUCUGUAAGACAAGAGAACAAAAAAACAAAUGAAUCACCAAUUUCAGAUGUGCAUAAGCCAGUUUCAGGAAAAGCUCUGGAGGGUCUCGAUGCAAGAGAGGCUUUUCUGUAUUGCCGUAACUUUUGAAUGGUUUCUGUUUAGCUGUCAAGGAGCCUAAAUAUUAACCUGUACUUUUCGUUUGAUUAGGUGAUUGCUAUUGAACCUAUAACUAAUGUUGGAGAAGGAGAUGCGAGCACUCAGUACCUCCACGAGAGUCUGCAGUGCUUCUCUGGAGUGGCAGCAGUGGCUACAGAUGUUGGGCGCGUUUUUCUGGUUGACCUUUGUUUACAUAAUUUCUCUUGGGGGCAGAAGGAAAUAGAAACAUUGGGUAAGCUUGCGGUUUAUAAACUUGAAUUUGAAAGUAGCAAAGGGUGUGUCUUUUAAACAAACAACCUGCACCCCCCCUUUGAAGGCACUUGUGUGCGGGCAUUUAUGACUAGUGAUUCCAGAUGGCGAUUUGACAUCGUGGAGUCCUGAACAGCUUAAAGAUGGGAGUGGCUUAAAGUCAGAGGUGCCCUGUUUCUUGGGAAUGUACUUCUGCUUCUGUUAAGUGACUCGGGCAAAGUGUAGGCUUGUUUCUGAAAAGAAACCCGACUUCUCCGAACUCAUGCAUUGAGAUGAGCGAGAUCUCUAAUGUGUGUAUUCAGACUGCAUACACUGUUUUGGCUAUUCCAACAGCGGCUUCAGGAGUUGAUGUCACUUCAAACGGCUUCAUCCUGAGGCCCACACUCCUGAUGUACACAGUCCAAGAAAAGUUCUCUCUGAAGGUUACUCUUCUACCUGGCGUUGAAAUAGCAGUGAGAAUACCUGUCCCAUCAGAGAGUUCCUCGGUGCUUUGAACGCCUACAAAUGGAAACAGCCAAAAAAAGCCUUACAUAAAUGGGUACUUGGCUGGGACAGGAGAAUUGGAUUAUAGAUGUUUUCAUGUCAGUGUUUAAAACGCCACCUAAAUAACAUAACAUCUUCAUUUUUUGUGUGUUUUUGUGUGUAUAGAUCUCGAAUAUCGUUGUGGGCUUUUGCAAUGGCACCCUCUCACUGUGGAAUAUGGGAACUUUGACAAGGGAGUAAGUGGGUCUUCCUGCUUGGCCAUGCCGGCAGGUGCAGGCUCUCCAUUUCUUGCCAAAGGGAGUGUGUUAAUGUAAAGAGGAGUCUUUUGGGGACUGAAGUUUUGAGUCUAACCCUGGAAUGCUUAGAAAUCCUCUUCUGAACUAACUCUGAAGUCAGAGAUGGAUUAAGCAAACCACCUCCUCCGCAGGGCACUAAGAUUCUUUUCCUUCUUGUGCCUUUGGAGUGAGCAGUUGUGGACAGCGUGCUGCUUGUGCCUAUGUCAAGCAGUUAGGAUGCAAUAGAGCCGAUUUUUAUAAGACACUUUGUUCUGUCAGUAGUAUUCAGUGAAACCAGGAAAUGUGUGUAUCUUCCUCGACUCCCUUCUUUGGGAUGUUGGUGUGACCUUCUGUACUUUGAGGCUAAGCACGUCAGGCGCUCUUUCUCAGAAGACGCUUGUGCCCUUUGACAAAGAGUUAAGGCCAGAGGCUCACCUUUUUUCUUCGUUCUUGUUCCUUUCUUUUCCUUCUUAAACCUGUAGGCACAACUCUCAGCUCAACGGAGGAAGGAUUCCUGUCUGUGGUGUUACCUUUCAAGAGCCUGAGAAUGAUCCUGGCAACUCUUGCUACUUGUGGGCUGUUCAGUCUACGCCAAAAAGGGGAGGUGGUGUCUUGAGUUUCCGGCUGUUGCAGUUAACCUUUGGUAAACGAAGAUGCGUGGCAUCAGGACAAGUCAUGUAUGAAGUAAGAGGGUUUGGCACGCUGUGAAGAAAGGUUCAGUUUAGAUCUCAGGGAUGGAAACUUCCCCUGGGCAGGGCAGAACAGCAAUAUGAAAUUACUCGGGUGUCAGACGAUAGAAAGUUUCAGUGAUGAUGUUGAUGAAGACAACAGCAUUAAUGGAGGUUUGUUCUGAUAUCCGUGUUGGGUUGAUCUGCUGGAGGGAAGGAAGGCUCUUCCUUCCUCUGCGGGGAAAAUCAUAGAGCCCUACUUUGCUUACAUCCAGAGAACGCACUCUCGCCAGAGAAGAGAGGUCAUGCAAUUUCUUGAGAGAACUGUAACAGUGUGAAUGUUUUAUGUUGGAAUCUUGAUUUGCAUUUCCUGGUGGUUGAGUUUGGGGGUUUUCUACCCAUUUUGUGUGAUAAGAGUGUUCUUUUCUCCUGAAUCUGCUGAGAAGGAGCUACUCUUGAAAGGUGUCACUGAGUCAGCUGUGGGAAUUGGUUGUGCCAUUGGAGUGAUACAAGCGGAUACGAUCACUAUUUGUCUGCUUUCAGAAGGGGACAAUGUCUAUGUUCCUAGCAUGUUUUUUGCUAAGCAGUUCAUCUAGCUGAAUGUCUUGAUCUACUCUUCACGUAUGGAAAACUUAAUUAACUCAUGACUGUGUGUUUGGUUUGGCUUAGCAUGGAUGCAAUUUGAAGAAGAAAAAGGGGCGGUGUGUCUGGAACCCGUCUCGGAGCUGUUUGCCCUUUGUUUGACGCUUGUGCCCUUUGACAAAUGUUAAAUGAAUGCAUUAGUAACCAAUGAUUGUUUUACAAAUGUAUAACCAAACCAAUCAAGUUUAGUGAAUGACUAAGUAGAGUGUAGUGAAAGAUACA